GACGAACGCUGGCGGCGUGCUUAACACAUGCAAGUCGAACGCUGAAGCUCAGCUUUUGUUGGGUGGAUGAGCGGCGAACGGGUGAGUAACACGUGAGUAACCUGCCCCCUUCUUUGGGAUAACGCCCGGAAACGGGUGCUAAUACUGGAUAUUCACUGGUCUUCGCAUGGGGGUUGGUGGAAAGGGUUUUUCUGGUGGGGGAUGGGCUCGCGGCCUAUCAGCUUGUUGGUGGGGUGAUGGCCUACCAAGGCUUUGACGGGUAGCCGGCCUGAGAGGGUGACCGGUCACAUUGGGACUGAGAUACGGCCCAGACUCGUACGGGAGGCAGCAGUGGGGAAUAUUGCACAAUGGGCGAAAGCCUGAUGCAGCGACGCCGCGUGAGGGAUGGAGGCCUUCGGGUUGUGAACCUCUUUCGCUCAUGGUCAAGCCGCAACAAUGGUUGUGGUGAGGGUAGUGGGUAAAGAAGCGCCGGCUAACUACGUG
rnacentral:rRNA from 1 species